rnacentral:rRNA from 1 species
UAGCUACAGGCUUAACACAUGCAAGUCGAGGGGCAUCAGGAAGAAAGCUUGCUUUCUUUGCUGGCGACCGGCGCACGGGUGAGUAACACGUAUCCAACCUGCCCUUUACUCGGGGAUAGCCUUUCGAAAGAAAGAUUAAUACCCGAUAGCAUAAUGAUUCCGCAUGGUUUCAUUAUUAAAGGAUUCCGGUAAAGGAUGGGGAUGCGUUCCAUUAGGUUGUUGGUGAGGUAACGGCCCACCAAGCCUUCGAUGGAUAGGGGUUCUGAGAGGAAGGUCCCCCACAUUGGAACUGAGACACGGUCCAAACUCCUACGGGAGGCAGCAGUGAGGAAUAUUGGUCAAUGGGCGCUAGCCUGAACCAGCCAAGUAGCGUGAAGGAUGAAGGCUCUAUGGGUCGUAAACUUCUUUUAUAUAAGAAUAAAGUGCAGUAUGUAUACUGUUUUGUAUGUAUUAUAUGAAUAAGGAUCGGCUAACUCCGUGCCAGCAGCCGCGGUAAUACGGAGGAUCCGAGCGUUAUCCGGAUUUAUUGGGUUUAAAGGGAGCGUAGGUGGACUGGUAAGUCAGUUGUGAAAGUUUGCGGCUCAACCGUAAAAUUGCAGUUGAUACUGUCAGUCUUGAGUACAGUAGAGGUGGGCGGAAUUCGUGGUGUAGCGGUGAAAUGCUUAGAUAUCACGAAGAACCCCGAUUGCGAAGGCAGCUCACUGGACUGCAACUGACACUGAUGCUCGAAAGUGUGGGUAUCAAACAGGAUUAGAUACCCUGGUAGUCCACACAGUAAACGAUGAAUACUCGCUGUUUGCGAUAUACAGUAAGCGGCCAAGCGAAAGCAUUAAGUAUUCCACCUGGGGAGUACGCCGGCAACAGUGAAACUCAAAGGAAUUGACGGGGGCCCGCACAAGCGGAGGAACAUGUGGUUUAAUUCGAUGAUACGCGAGGAACCUUACCCGGGCUUAAAUUGCAGUGGAAUGAUGUGGAAACAUGUCAGUGAGCAAUCACCGCUGUGAAGGUGCUGCAUGGUUGUCGUCAGCUCGUGCCGUGAGGUGUCGGCUUAAGUGCCAUAACGAGCGCAACCCUUAUCUUUAGUUACUAACAGGUUAUGCUGAGGACUCUAGAGAGACUGCCGUCGUAAGAUGUGAGGAAGGUGGGGAUGACGUCAAAUCAGCACGGCCCUUACGUCCGGGGCUACACACGUGUUACAAUGGGGGGUACAGAAGGCAGCUAGCGGGUGACCGUAUGCUAAUCCCAAAAUCCUCUCUCAGUUCGGAUCGAAGUCUGCAACCCGACUUCGUGAAGCUGGAUUCGCUAGUAAUCGCGCAUCAGCCACGGCGCGGUGAAUACGUUCCCGGGCCUUGUACACACCGCCCGUCAAGCCAUGGGAGCCGGGGGUACCUGAAGUACGUAACCGCAAGGAUCGUCCUAGGGUAAAACUGGUGACUG